rfam:Streptococcus pneumoniae 2070335 gspj15.contig.2, whole genome shotgun sequence.
UGAUAGGUAUGAAAAGUGGCGUUGAAGCUGGAUAAGUUUAUAAAGAGUUUGAAUGAAGAAAUGAAAAGUAAAUAAGUUGAUGAUGAAUUGCAAAAAUAG